rnacentral:lncRNA from 1 species
AUAUUGUAUACCUAGUAGGAAAAGCUUAACAUUCCCGGGCGAUCGUAAAAAUUGCCAGUCGAGGCGCAAGCCGAGACUGGCAAUACGGAGUCCGGGAAUGUGGCUUUUCCUACAAGGUCUACAUACCAUUUUUCCGAAAAUCGGGAAUCAUUAAAAUUACGGUAAAUUAUUACUAAUCAUGUUAAAAAUUUUAAAUCAACAUUAUUAUUUUUCCCUUAAAUAAAAGAAGCCAUGAAACAUUGUUUUGUAACUACGGAAACGAAGUACAUAAUUUUAAAUUGUCAAACUUGACGAGUGAAAAGUUUAUUUGUGGCGUCUUUCCAAAGUGUUGAUUUUUUAACGUUUUAAAAAGCCAAAGUAACGUGUAAAAUGAUGAGUGAUGAUGACUGUUCCAUUUCUGAAACCCUCUCAGAACUCACGGAGGCAGUGAAUGCUGCAUCAUUGGAAUUGUUACCAGUAAAAUCUAGAAAUAAGUAUAACUAUGUAUACAACCGCUUCAUGGACUACCGUACGAAUAAAAAUGUAACUUCUUUCUCGGAAAAUGUUGUAAUGGCAUACUUCUUGGAGCUUGGUUCCAAGAUGAAUUCUUCAACUUUAUGGGCCAAUUGUUCAAUGCUGAAGGCAACAAAACUUAUUACAAAACUUCAAAUUAUAUUUGGAUUCUUUACAUGCUUAUUUAUUGUUGUAGGUAGCUGUAAUAUUUGGAAUUUUCGGAGCUUGCAGAAUGGACGAGCUGGUUAAAAUGACUGUACAAGAUAUACAAGACCUACUAUCUAAACUUUUAGUUACCAUACCGGAUUCAAAAACCAAUACAUCAAGAUCAUUUAUAGUAAUAGUUAUUGUCAUACAAAUAAAAUUAUUAGUUUGGAAAAUAUUCAACAAAACAAUGCUAUUAGUUCCCAAGUUCUUCCAGUUUUCAAUACUUGUACUAAUUGUCAAAUAACAGUAAAUAUAACAAAUAAUAAGUAAUAAUUUUAAAAUAUAAUGUUAACCUUGUUUGUGCUGAAAGUUUUAAAAAUAAAAUUGUUUAGGAAAAAGCCUGUUCGCAUUUAUGUUCUAAGGUUUACUGUAUGGAAAUAACAUUUCCUUACAGUACAGAAAUGAAUAUUUCCUUACUGUUAUUUUCGGUUGCCAGGCAACAAUCAAGUUGGAGGAAAUAUUGACUUUUUCUUUCAAAUAUGUUGUCAAAAAUGUUAUUAUUUCUUAUCGAUUUUCGGAAAAAAAUUUUUUUAAAACAUAUAUUGCAUAUAUUACAACACAUUUAAAAUUGGGAAAUAUAUGAAAGAAAUUAUUACCAUGGAAAAGAAAGAUAGGUUUUCGUCUUUGUACUGAAGUAGAAGUAGAUAAAAAGAUAUGCAAAACGUAGAUUGGAACAACAUAUAUCAGAUUCAGGACAUUAAUGAUAAAAUUACCUUUUUAACUGAAAACUUAAUCAAUAUUUUUAAUUUUCACGCACCUGUACGAAGUGUAAAACUUAGCAGACCGCCAGCUCCUUGGCUUACGGAUACUUUAAAACUUAUUUUAAAACAGCGUGAUAUUGCUUUUAAUAAAUUUAAACAAAACAAAACCACAACUAAUUGGAAUAGCUAUAAAGAGCUUCGGAACUUUGCCCUAGCAUCCAUAAGGCGAGAAAAAGCUGCUUACCUAAAAUAGGUCUCUAAUCGGGAUACCAUAACUAUAUGGAAACGUUUAAAGAUAGCUGGAGUCAUGACAGGGUCAAAGCCGGAAUUGCCUAUAGAGCUGCAAGAUCCUGACAAGAUAAAUUAAUAUUUUUCAUUAAUAUUUAAACAAAACGGAGCUGAUCCGGGUCUCAUAGAUUUUUUUGAGUCAAAUAGACGUGAUUCCUCUG